rnacentral:rRNA from 1 species
CGUACACUCCUGCGGGAGGCAGCAGUGGGGAAUAUUGCACAAUGGGCGCAAGCCUGAUGCAGCCAUGCCGCGUGUAUGAAGAAGGCCUUCGGGUUGUAAAGUACUUUCAGCGGGGAGGAAGGCGAUAAGGUUAAUAACCUUGUCGAUUGACGUUACCCGCAGAAGAAGCACCGGCUAACUCCGUGCCAGCAGCCGCGGUAAUACGGAGGGUGCAAGCGUUAAUCGGAAUUACUGGGCGUAAAGCGCACGCAGGCGGUCUGUCAAGUCGGAUGUGAAAUCCCCGGGCUCAACCUGGGAACUGCAUUCGAAACUGGCAGGCUAGAGUCUUGUAGAGGGGGGUAGAAUUCCAGGUGUAGCGGUGAAAUGCGUAGAGAUCUGGAGGAAUACCGGUGGCGAAGGCGGCCCCCUGGACAAAGACUGACGCUCAGGUGCGAAAGCGUGGGGAGCAAACAGGAUUAGAAACCCCAGUAGUCCCAGG